GACGAACGCUGGCGGCGUGCUUAACACAUGCAAGUCGAACGGAAAGGCCCUUCGGGGUACUCGAGUGGCGAACGGGUGAGUAACACGUGGGUGAUCUGCCCUGCACUUUGGGAUAAGCCU
rnacentral:rRNA from 1 species